rnacentral:rRNA from 1 species
GACAGAGGGUGCAAACGUUGCUCGGAAUUACUGGGCGUAAAGAGCGUGUAGGCGGCCCCGAUAAGUCCGCUGUGAAAAGUCCAGGGCUCAACCCCUGGGGAUGCCGGUGGAUACUGUCGGGCUCGAGUCCGGAAGAGGAGUGUGGAAUUCCCGGUGUAGCGGUGAAAUGCGCAGAUAUCAGGAGGAACACCAAUGGCGAAGGCAGCACUCUGGGACGUGACUGACGCUGAGACGCGAAAAGCGUGGGGGAGCAAACAGG